rnacentral:lncRNA from 1 species
GGAGAUAGUAGAAGGUUUACCCACGUGGAAUUCUAAAGAGAAGGAAAGGAGGGUGUCAUUCAUGGGGAUGGCAGGGGUGGUGGAUUAUUUAAUGGCCACAAAUUCUUCCUAUCCUAAUGUCCCAGAAUAAAGUCUGCGGCAGCCUACUGAAGGCCACUUGAAGAGGCAGCCAGCACCGACCAGGAUGAGCUGGCACUGAUCCACGAUGAGUGGGUCUGACCCCAUCCACACUGAGCAGAACUGCCCAGGCCAGCUGCUCUUGCCUCCUGAGCCCCCAGGCGACCAAACAAAUGAAUGCAAUCCUGUUGGUGACAAAUAA